rnacentral:rRNA from 1 species
UACGUAGGGGGCAAGCGUUGUCCGGAUUUAUUGGGCGUAAAGAGCGUGUAGGCGGCCGUACAGGUCAGCUGUGAAAACUCGGAGGCUCAACCUCGAGACGUCGGUUGAAACCGUACGGCUAGAGUCCGGAAGAGGAGAGUGGAAUUCCCGGUGUAGCGGUGAAAUGCGCAGAUAUCGGGAAGAACACCCGUGGCGAAGGCGACUACCUGGCCUGUUCUUGACGCUGAGGCGCGAAAGCUAGGGGAGCAAACGGG